GAUGAACGCUGGCGGCAUGCCUAACACAUGCAAGUCGGACGGGAAGUUGUGUUUCCAGUGGCGGAGGGGUGAGUAACGGGUAGGAACCUGCCCUUGGGAGGGGAUCACUAACUGAAAAGGGUUGCUACUACCCCGCAGGCCUAGGAGCAAAAGAUGUAAUCCGCCCGAGGGGGGGCUUGUGUCUGAUUAGCUAUUUGGUGGGGUAGUAGCUUACCAAGGCGAUUGUCAGUAUCUGGUACGAGAGGAUGAUCAGCCACACUGGGACUGAGACACGGCGCAGACUCCUACGCGAGACGGCAGUGGGGAAGAUUCCGCAAUGGGCGAAAGCCUGAGAGGGCAAUGCGGCGUGGAGGUAGUGGGCCCAGGGGUCGUGAAAUGCUUUUCUCGCCGAGGAAACAAUGACGGUACCUGAUGAAUAAGCAACGGCUAACUCUGUG
rnacentral:rRNA from 1 species